GACGAACGCUGGCGGCGUGCUUAACACAUGCAAGUCGAACGGUGAGGAGGAGCUUGCUCCUCCGAUCAGUGGCGAACGGGUGAGUAACACGUGAGUAACCUGCCCCAGACCCUGGGAUAACAGUUGGAAACAGCUGCUAAUACCGGAUACGAGACGGAGAGGCAUCUCUACCGUCUGGAAAGUUUUCGGUCUGGGAUGGACUCGCGGCCUAUCAGCUAGUUGGUGAGGUAAUGGCUCACCAAGGCGACGACGGGUAGCCGGCCUGAGAGGGCGACCGGCCACACUGGGACUGAGGCACGGCCCAGACUCCUACGGGAGGCAGCAGUGGGGAAUAUUGCACAAUGGGCGAAAGCCUGAUGCAGCGACGCCGCGUGAGGGAUGACGGCCUUCGGGUUGUAAACCUCUUUCAGCAGGGAAGAAGCGAAAGUGACGGUACCUGCAGAAGAAGCACCGGCUAACUACGUG
rnacentral:rRNA from 1 species